GCGAGAGUGGCGGAACUGGCAGACGCGCAGGACUUAGGAUCCUGGGCCCAAAAGGCGUGCGGGUUCGACUCCCGCCUCUCGCA
rnacentral:tRNA from 1 species